UACGGGGGGGGGCAAGCGUUGUUCGGAAUUACUGGGCGUAAAGGGCCAGUAGGCGGCCAACUAAGUCGGACGUGAAAUCCCCAGGCUCAACCUGGGAACUGCGUCCGAUACUGGAUGGCUUGAAUUCGGGAGAGGGAUGCAGAAUUCCAGGUGUAGCGGUGAAAUGCGUAGAUAUGUGGAGGAAUACCGAUGGCGAAGGCAGCCUCCUGGGCCAACACUGACGCUCAUGCACGAAAGCGUGGGGAGCAAACAGG
rnacentral:rRNA from 1 species